GGCCCGGCACAAGCGGUGGAGCAUGUGGUUUAAUUCGAUGAUACGCGAGGAACCUUACCAGGGCUUAAAUGUGGUUUGACAGCUUUAGAGAUAGAGUUUUCUUUCGGACAAAUCACAAGGUGCUGCAUGGUUGUCGUCAGCUCGUGCCGUGAGGUGUCAGGUUAAGUCCUAUAACGAGCGCAACCCCUGUUGUUAGUUGCCAGCGAGUAAUGUCGGGAACUCUAGCAAGACUGCCGGUGCAAACCGUGAGGAAGGUGGGGAUGACGUCAAAUCAUCACGGCCCUUACGUCCUGGGCUACACACGUGCUACAAUGGUAGGGACAGAGAGCAGCCACUUCGUGAGAAGGAGCGAAUCUUCAAACCCUAUCUCAGUUCGGAUCGCAGUCUGCAACUCGACUGCGUGAAGCUGGAAUCGCUAGUAAUCGCAUAUC
rnacentral:rRNA from 1 species